GACGUAGGAUGCGAGCGUUGUCCGGAUUUAUUGGGCGUAAAGAGUUCGUAGGCGGUUUGUUAAGUCUGAUGUUAAAGACUGGGGCUCAACCCUGGGAGUGCAUUGGAUACUGGCAGACUCGAGUGUGGUAGAGGCAAGCGGAAUUCCCAGUGUAGCGGUGAAAUGCGUAGAUAUUGGGAAGAACACCGGUGGCGCAAGCGGCUUGCUGGGCCAUAACUGACGCUGAGGAACGAAAGCUAGGGUAGCGAAUGGG
rnacentral:rRNA from 1 species